rnacentral:rRNA from 1 species
UCCGGUGGCGAUAGCGGGGAGGUCACACCUGUUCCCAUCCCGAACACAGAAGUUAAGCUCCUCAGCGCCGAUGGUACUGCAGCCGACGGUUGUGGGAGAAUAGGACGUUGCCGGAU